rnacentral:rRNA from 1 species
CCUACGGGGGGCUGCAGUGGGGAAUAUUGGACAAUGGGGGCAACCCUGAUCCAGCCAUGCCGCGUGUGUGAAGAAGGCCCUCGGGUUGUAAAGCACUUUCAGUGAGGAAGAACGCCUGGUGGUUAAUACCCAUCAGGAAAGACAUCACUCACAGAAGAAGCACCGGCUAACUCCGUGCCAGCAGCCGCGGUAAUACGGAGGGUGCGAGCGUUAAUCGGAAUUACUGGGCGUAAAGCGCGCGUAGGUGGCUUGAUAAGCCGGUUGUGAAAGCCCCGGGCUCAACCUGGGAACGGCAUCCGGAACUGUCAAGCUAGAGUGCAGGAGAGGAAGGUAGAAGUCCCGGUGUAGCGGUGAAAUGCGUAGAGAUCGGGAGGAAUACCAGUGGCGAAGGCGGCCUUCUGGACUGACACUGACACUGAGGUGCGAAAGCGUGGGUAGCAAACAGGAUUAGAUACCCUGGUAGUC